rnacentral:rRNA from 1 species
AACCUCCGCAAUGUGAGAAAUCGCGACGGGGGGAUCCCAAGUGCCAUUCUUAACGGGAUGGCUUUUCAUUAGUGUAAAGAGCUUUUGGAAUAAGAGCUGGGCAAGACCGGUGCCAGCCGCCGCGGUAACACCGGCAGCUCUAGUGGUAGCAAUUUUUAUUGGGCCUAAAGCGUCCGUAGCCGGUUUAAUAAGUCUCUGGUGAAAUCCUGCAGCUUAACUGUGGGAAUUGCUGGAGAUACUAUUAGACUUGAGAUCGGGAGAGGUUAGAGGUACUCCCAGGGUAGAGGUGAAAUUCUGUAAUCCUGGGAGGACCGCCUGUUGCGAAGGCGUCUAACUGGAACGAUUCUGACGGUGAGGGACGAAAGUUAGGGGCGCGAACCGGAUUAGAUACCCGGGUAGUCCUAACUGUAAACGAUGCGGACUUGGUGUUGGGGUGGCUUUGAGCUGCUCCAGUGCCGAAGGGAAGCUGUUAAGUCCGCCGCCUGGGAAGUACGGUCGCAAGACUGAAACUUAAAGGAAGU